GACGAACGCUGGCGGCGUGCUUAACACAUGCAAGUCGAACGGAAAGGCCCCUUUGGGGGGACUCGAGUGGCGAACGGGUGAGUAACAGUGGAGUAACCUUCCCUUUACUUUUGGAUAACUUCAGGAAAGUGGGGCUAAUACCGGAUAGGCAUCCUUGGUGCUUGGUGUGGGUGGGGAAGCUUCGGGGGUUUUGGGUGGACUCGCGGCUCAUCAGCUUGUUGGUGGGGUAGUGGGUUACCAAGGCUUUGACGGGUAGCCGGCCUGCUAGGGCGACCGGCCACAUUGGGACUGAGAUACGGCCCAGACUCCUACGGGAGGCAGCAGGGGGGAAUAUUGCACAAUGGGCGGAGGCCUGAUGCAGCAACGCCGCGUGCGGGAUGACGGCCUUCGGGUUGUAAACCGCUUUCAGCAGGGGCGAAGCUUGUGGUGACGGUACCUGCAGAAGAAGCACCGGCUAACUACGUG
rnacentral:rRNA from 1 species